ACUGAGACUCCAGCACUUUCCCUCCAAAUCCCUCCCCUCUGUGUAGCCACAGCUGCCCAGAUUUAGCAGUUCUUGUGGAAGCAGUUUCAGUUCUGCCUACACUGCUGAAAAGGCUGAAGCUACUCUUUUCCCUUUCUAGGUACAGGCUGGUUAUUAUGUGGCUGUCAGCAUGCUGCUCUGAUAUGUCCAGGAUUUUGUAGUCUCAUCUUCUGCCCAGAAAUGUUCACAGUUUCCAUGGAAAUAAAUUGGAGACAUUACCUUUGGAGCAACCUUCAUAUAAAGGCAUGCAGCCCUCAGCAGGCCUAGACUUCUAUGUCAAGAACUUCAAAACAUUCAAAAAUUUGAAUUGCUUUGUCCAAGCAUCCAUAACCUGAAGGAUGUGGUAGGUACAUUUGUGAAGAGUUGUCAAGAAUGAAGCACAAGAAGAGUAAAAUUUCAUCAAAAAUCUUUGACGAACACCUGGAGAUCUCACUAUAAUUUCAACCACUUCUAUUGAAACAGACUGAUGCAUUAAUUUCACAUAAAGAAG
ensembl:lncRNA